AAAGCUCUCAAAUGCAAGCUAGUUGUAAUAAGUUCAAUCUUUUUAUGGCCAGUAGUGCCCUAAAUAAGCAUCGAACUUAUUGCAACUAGCUUUAAUUUUUGAGUUUU
ncrna:Malus domestica miR7125 stem-loop (mdm-MIR7125)